UGUCUGGGUGUGGUGCUGAAAGGGUUACACAGCAAAGACUCUCCCUCUCCUGGCUCCCAGAAAGCCUGAGCCUGCGGUUUGCCUGCCUAGUUCUGCCUGAGGUGUCCCCUUACAGCCAUCCUUACUAGAAUCCCAGUCAAAGAUCAUCCUGGCCAGUCCUCUGUCUCCUUAGCAGAGGGUCCCAGUGCUUCUCAGGACAGAGGCCUCCUCAGGACAGUCUGCAGAAGGCAAGGACUCUGUCUGGGUCAAGGCCAGGAAUCCUGGGGCUCCGGGGCUGACUUGGGGGGGGGGGGCUGCCUGCCCCUAGCUGUAGGCCAAACUUGGUAGGGGGAAGCACAGAAAGAGAUGGUGUCCGCGUAGCAAGCUGAUCUCUGGUGCUCCUGGGGCCUCAAGUGAGUCUUAUCAGGGGCGACUUCAGGGGAGGCUAAGUCAGAGAAAGGGCCAGCCCCUUUCUCUCCACCACAGUAAGGCACAGUGAGUACUUGCCCUGCUUUCUGUAGCUUUGCUCUGUGAAGGAGAUGCUAAGGGAUCCCAAGAAGACUUCUCUAAGCCUUUGCUCCUGCAGCUUCCAAACUGUCAUUCUUAUGGUCCCUCCCUUCUGACUGGACAUCACUUCAGUUCACUCCCUGUCUCCUCCUGUCCCCUGACUUUGGUCUCUCAGCCUGAACACUCCAAGUUCAUCCAAAGUAAGCUUUCUAAGACCCACACCCAACCCCUGCAUCCACCAUUACUACCCACUAAAUCCAAACUCGGCCCAGGCAGCUGAAUCCUAUCCUGCUGGGCCCCAGUUCAUAGCUCAUAGCUCUAAGUCUGUGUCUCUGCCUUACAGAUCUGCAGGCUACACACACGCUUGCUCUCCUAUCCAUACCCUUGCAUUCUCUAAACCAACAUUCCUGUUCAGGUGGCACUCUCCCUUCUUGGCCUGACCCAUUGCUUAGUCUGUCUACUUGAUGGAGACGUGGGAAGGCUUCCUAUGUUUUAGACGCAUUGCUAGGUGUGAAAGAUGUGGCUGGGUCCCAGACAGAUCUGCGCUGACCUUACCACCACGGUUACAGCCUCGGUGAGGAUGGACAAACAGCUGAUUACACGAAUAAUGGAUUAAGUCUGUGCUACAUAUUAAGAUCUGUUCAUUCAGCAACCACUUCUGUAUGCUGAUCUACGAGAGGAUGGACGGAACAAGCUGUAUCAAGGGAGGACUUCAUAGGCAACAUUUAUUCUGGAGUCUGUGGAGCAAGCAGACAAAAGGAGGCAGUAGUGUGUGCAAGAGCCCUGGGGCAGGAAGCUUUGGUGCUUUUGCAAAAUCAAGACAGUCAGGGUGCCAAGACCCUCUUUGGAGAAAGAAGAAGGCAGAUGAGAAGGGGCAAGGCCAUCUGAUGAGGAUCCCCAGAAGCUGGCAUAGGAGAGGAAAAGCACUGGCCAAAGCCAGCACGGAGCCUCCCUUGGCUCCAGGGGCCGGGCGAAGAAAAGCCAGGCAGCAAGGGGAGAGCAGAGGAGGGGAGAGCUCUGGGAGGUCAGGCGAGCCAGCUUCCAUCCCUGAGAGAACAGCAGAGGCUCCUCUAGAAGAGGCAGAGGAAGACACUUCAGGCCCAGCUGGCACAAUGGGAGAAACUCCUGGUCACCACCCAAGGAAACAAGAAGCCUUGCCCAGUAUAGGCAUCCAGGAGCCUGGAGGCCAACAUUUCUCUUCUCUCUCUCAGCCCUGCCCAGCUUAGCCCUACCCAGCCCAGCCCUGUCACCCCAGGCUCAGCCUCUCCUGGGACCACAGCCCAACUUCCCAAGCCUGGUCUGGGUGCAGGUACCCAUGCCAUCUUUGGCUUGUUUGGGGAAUUCCCAAUGGACAUCCUCACAGCUUCAGAGUAGCUGUGGCAGCUCUCAAAGACUGUCUUGUUCUUAUUACCCAAAUCCCCUCCCACCCCUGGAACUCCCAGAGCACCCAUUUGCAUCAUAGAAAAGUGCCAACACGAAUCACAAGGUGUACACCACUAGAAACCUGAAGCUAUGGCUCCCAAAAUGGCCUGCAGCUUCCAUGAAGACCAAGCCAGAUACAGAAACGAGCAGGAGACCCACAGUCCCUUUUCAGUUCAGCCAGGCUAUCCUCCCUCCCUUUGGUCCUUGGAGAAGACAUAUUUUUCUUUUGAGCCCUGGCAACUAUUUCCCUGUGAACCCAGAGCUCAGCAGGAUCAUUCCAGCAAUCAGCCACCAAAGUAGAGCUCAGAGACUCAGGUAUGUAUGUCCCCAGCUAUGGAAACUUUGUCCCUUGCCAUUGAGCAUGGCGGCCAGCCCUCUAGCAAUCCUCUUUUGCCUCUGGCAGGUUGCACAUUAGUUCUCUGGAACCCUCUAUGUUUCCAAGGCUUGCUAAUGGGUGUCUGUAGGACUGUCCACAGGGAGCAGCAACUAUGUAUGGCUCCAGGAGUUCUGAACUCCUGCACUGGGCCACUGUGUGCUUUAGAAAUUCUUGCAACAACAUUUAAUCAAUAUCACCACCCUCAUGACAAAGAGAAGGAGAUGACAAAGCUGACUUCAGUGUUUCUCAAAAUCUGUUCUCUCUACCUUACUUCUGCCACCCAAGCUCCUGGUAAGGGUGGUUCCCUCUGUGCCAAUCUGGAGCAGCAGCCUUUGUGUGGCCACCACAAGCCCCUGUCUAAUUGGUUGCAUGGUUUUGGGGUUCUGACUGAUGUGCAGCUGAGUGCAUUCUGACAUACUUUAUACACAGCUCUCCCCUCUAAAAGAUUCUGCAUCUCCAGGGCCACCAGUCCCAUCCCUGGGCCCAGGGCUCCUCAGGUAGUCUUUCUUAUGCUUUGCAGCAUGCAGGGUGCACGACCCAUUCCCCUCUCCCCGACCACCCCUUCUGCUGCUUCCGUGUCCAGUGUGAUAGCACCUGCCCAGCACCUGCUUUAUAACCAGUUUAGUCAGUGCAGGGAACUGCAGGAUACAAAAGGUCUUGUCUUCAAGGACGGAGGGAGGACCACACUUAACACAGGGAAGCACAGAUCUGUUGGGAAUAGGGUGUCAUCUAAGUUGCUGCUCCUGGGAAGCUUGACCAGGUAAGGAAGGGCACGAGCAUUGUGAACUUUCGGUGGAAGAACAGGGAAGAACCUGUCAGAAAGGGCUGGGGUCAGGCUGUGAGCCAGGGAUGAGAAUAUGGAGGUCUAAGAGAGGUGUGCUAACUUACAAGAGACACUAUGGCACCUCAAACUCCACUCCUUUGCCCACCAGCCUUUCCCUAUCCCUACCACUUCAGGACUAAGAAAGCCACACAUUGGCAGGGAUAUUAAGGCCACCUCACAAAUGGAAUGUCGUGCUGCCUUCCUCUAACGGCCCUUCAGGGUCCCACAAGGAACAUUGCAUCUCCACAGGCACAGUUACUCCCCAGCAAUGGCUUCGUGGACCAACUGUGGCCAGAUUCUCCUGGUCCCUCCCACUCCUUUUGCAGUCUCUCUCACCCAUUCAUUCAAACCCUUUGUACCUUGAGGCCUCGUCCCUCCUAUGAGAGCCCUCCCACCCAUUACAUAACUUUGUUUGGGAUUAUUUUUGCCCAAAGGUAUGAACUGCAUUUCUGCAUAUUUAAACCGUCCUUGAUUCAUUCCUGACUGUUUCUUAAAUCUGUUUGCCCAGGUGCCCGCCCCACCCACUGGCUCUGAGGCCCCUGGGAACAUGCCCACAUUGGGCUCAGCUUGCCCCACAACUGUCAACUACUCUACUCCAGAACCAAAGGAAUGAACACGGGGCCGCACUGGGUCCCUGUUCAGGAGACCUUAGGCCACAGUAGACCUCAGGGCCCACCGGGCCCACCACAAUCGGGAUUUUUUCCCUCACACUCUCCACUCUCCUCACCAGUAAGCUCUAUGGAGCACUCAGUCUUCCAGAGUGCACCCCAGCUCUCUGGCUUCAGGGCGUGGCUUCCAUAAUCCAAGGGCUUGUGGGGAGGAAGGGGCAGUGGGAGGGAAAACAUAAUACUAAUUAAUGGUUUGUUUCCUGCUAGCCUCUUGCAAAUAGAAUGGCUUAAUGUAAUUACUGAAGUAGUUGCGAGGGGCUCUGGCUGCAUUGUAAAAUAGUUAUCUGACAAUCAUCGUUUAAUUUUUAAGAGCUCAUUAACAAAUAGGCUGUGAAUGCCUUUCUCGCCUCCUCUCCUGCUGCGGAGUCAGGGUGAUUUAGUGAGCGAGGACAAUGAGGUGGUCAAGGCCUUUCUGUCCGGGGUCACCAGUUGGAACAAGGAUUCAGCUCAGCAGUUGCAAGGCUCCGAGAAGAGCUGGCGCCAGUGGCACUGUCAGGGCACGACAAGCUCAGUGGUGGCCAGGGCCCCCCAGGUCCUGUCUGAAUUCCAGUGCUAUCUGAUGUAGGCCCCAGAUCUUCGGGUCCCCAGGGAGGACCCUGACCUCCUCAGAAGAAACUGACUGCCACCCUGUACCCUGUGCACUGAAGGCCCCGCUGAAGUGUGACCCACUCAAUUACUGUACAGUAGACACGUACCAGGAUGGGCCACCUCACCCACAGGCAUGCUCUUCGAACACGUGUGAGCCUCGCUGGCUCAUGAGCAAGCAGCAGGGAUACGUAGCGUUUUAGAUUAUGAAAGGCGUGGGUGGUCAGCUCCAGAUAAUGGGCUGGUUAAAAUGAAAGGAUGGAGGUGAGAUCUGCUUCACAAACACAGAUGCCGUGCUAUAGGGGACUUUCUCCUGGAGCAUGGGAUAACCUAGCAAGAGUGGGAACUAAGGGGUAAGUUCAGACCAUAAAGAUUUUUAUCUUGAUUAAUAUAAAAGUCGUGUGAAGGGCCCCAUGGGAGAUAAGGCUGUGAGACGUGGGGUGUGGGGGGGCGGGUAGGGGGUGGCCAUCUGUGAAGCUCAUGAUAAGAAAACAGGGGGACUGUGUCAUCACGGGGGCUGAGUUGCAGUCAUAAGCUACUGCCUUACUUGGAGUGCUUGCUGUAUGGGUGGAAUAUUAACCCCAUCCAGAAAGUUCUGAAUUACAGUCUCUUGGGUGAGGUUGGAACAUGGUAUUUAUUUCUACUGAUGCAGAUAGUAUAUGAAAUAUCUUCUGAAAAAGAACUGGCCCUAGCAGUGAGCUGGAUGUAAAGUGAAUAAGUAAAGUAAUUAAUUAAUUGAAAAAAAGAAAAAAAAAAAAAAGAACUGGCCCUAGAGAAUUCAGUCCUCACAACUCAAAUUGGCACUUAAAGCUCUCUAGAACACGCCCCUAUCAACAAUGCUCCUCGUAUUACUACAUUUUAAACUAAUUGCAGUAUAAUUCAUAUACCAUACAAAUGUUCCACGUAAAGUGUAUAAUUCAAAAAUUCUUGCCUAUUUAUAGAACUGUGUAGUCAUCACUACAUAAAUCUUCAGACAGUUUCUUCACCCCUAAAAGAAACACUACAUACUGUAGCAACUGCUCCAGGCAGUCAGUGAUCAACUCUCUAUGCAUUUGCCCCGGUUGGGAUAAUUUAUAAAAAACACAUUCCCUUCUUUGGUUCACAUCUUCCACUUGGUAUAAUGCUUCCAGGGCUCAUCUGUGGCGUGGCGUGGAACAGCACUUCAUUCUUUUUACUGCUAAAUAGAAUUCCACGCAUGGAUAUUAUCUAUACAUUGGUGUUGGCAGUAUACAACCCUUCUGCAAACACUUGUGUCUCGUUUUCUAGUGGCAUGUGUUCUUAUUCUGAAAUCCACCUGGUAGUGUGAUAGCUGGCUAUGUGGUAACUCUGUUUACCUGGCUGAGGACCUGCCAACCUGUGGGCUUCCUACAGCAGUCAGGACAUUUACAUUCUCAUAAGCUUUCUGACUUCCCCACAUCUUUGAUAUGCUAUUACCUGAUAGUUUUAUUCUGUUAUCUUUGGGGGUAUAAUGCUAUAUAUAUGUAUGUGUGCAUUAUUUUACAUCUAUAUGUAAAAUUUAAAAAAAAUUGUACAUGCCCAUUUUAAAAUCAGGCCAUUUAUCUUUUUAUGAUCAAAUUGGAAGAAUUCCAACUCACGGUAUGAAGAUCUACGGCUUAUUUUUUUUCCCAAGAGCUUUGCAUUUUGAAGCUCUGUCAGGUCUUUGGGUCACAUAGUUAGUUUUGUAAAUAGUGCAAGGUGUUCUUUUGUAGGGGGUAUUGCAUUAGCUAAGCCCUACCGCUAAAGUGAUUAGAGUUACAAAAUACAAUGGCCUCCAAGUAAUUACGUGUGGACUGUGUUCUGGGAACCACUGAGCUACAGAAGAGGUAGGUAGGCUGUGUAAUGGGUGAAAGGGGUUAAAUUCUGUUGAUUGCUGGGUGUUGGGGUACAGUACUCAGGAGGCAGAAGCAGGUAGAUUUUUGUGAAUCAGAGGCAGCCUGGACUACAUAGUGAGCUUCAGGUCAGCCAGAGCUACAUAGUAAGACCCUGUACCAAACAAACACCCCAGUGGUCACUGCAAGAGACUCAGAGAUGAAGGAAGUGGCACCAGGUGAAGCCAUCACACCAGGUGAUGAAAUUGAUGUGCUAAGCCACAAAAGGCUGAAGAUGCUCUGCUGUGCAAUGACUGCAGCCAUCCUUUCUGUGUCACCUACAGUGAAAACCUGCAUCCACAGAGCAAUGACUGCAGCCAUCCUUUCUAUAUCACCUACAGUGAAAACUUGCAUCCACAUUCCUUGUUCUGUUCAGGGCCCUUAGGAAAGUAGAGAAGGCAUUGCUGGUUUUGUAGAACGAGAGGAAACUGGGGGUCCAACAUGAGCCUGGGAAGCAUCCAUACAAAGCCUGCAAUUUUCAGCAUCAGUGACUAGACACUGAUAGGAGCUGGGCGAGCAGGGGAAGGCUGCCUGAAGACUUCAGAAAGGUUGGGUUGAGCUGCCAGCAGGCUAUGUUGAGCAGACACCUGAACAUGUAGCCGAAGAGGUCAGAGUGGAAGGCAGAGCUUUCAGAGGGCACCAUUAACAUCACCAGGGCAGAAAAAACAAACAAACAAACAAACAAACAAACAAACAGCCAGUGAAAAAGGACACAGAGGAAGGCCAAGCAGAGCCACCUGGGAAGAUGUCCGUAGAGACCAGGAAGGAGCCAAACUGUGGAUGUGAAAAAGCAGAGGAGGGGCAUUUCCGAGACCUAGGUGAGCCAGUGAGUAACAUGGCUGUACAGCCAGGGGAGUGGAAAGUCUAAAAGGCGGCCAGCCAGCGGGUGGAGGGAACCAGAGGCGGCAGGGAUUUAGGUGUGUAUGUGUGUGUGUGUGUGUGUGUGUGUGUGUGUGUGUGUGUGUUGCAGAUCUGAAGAGUUGCCCACGAGGGUUGGACUUCAGUGGCUGAAGGGAGGGACUGGAACACUUGGAAGCAACCUUUGUUUUGUACGGCAAAUAGCCUCUCUAUCCUGACAGAGAGAAUGUUCACAUAGGUUUUAUGCAGAUGCAACUGUUCUUGCUUGUGGAAGCAGGCCCAAGAUGCUUCUGACAUUAGUAGCCUCCCAGGGCAAGGGAGUCAGGCCAGCUUUCUUCAGUCUGAGCAUAGGUCAAGCAGGCAACGCUGUUAGGUUGGUCUCUCUCUCUCCCUCUCUCCUCUCUCUCUCUCUCUAAAAAAUUCCCCCCUCUUCAGGAUCUCAUGUAUCCUGGGCUGCCCUCUAACUUUUUAUAUAGCCACAGAUGGCCUUGAGCUUUGAAUCCUCCAGCAUCCCCCUCCCAAGGGCAGGGAUUCCAGGUGUGUACCACAACCCCGGAUUUAUUAGAUGCUGGGGAUCAAACUUAGGGCUUUGUGCAUGCUAGGUGGGCACUCUAUCCACAGAAUACAGCCUCAGCCCUCAGAGCUCUGAGUCUGUGCUUAUCGUCAACAUAUCAAGUGUUGUGUUACUAGCCCUCCCCACUUCUACCACUUAGGCCUCCAAAGCAGGAAGUACUUGCCAGGGACCCCAUCCUAUGUUUGUCUUGUGUGCAUUGGAAGCAAGAGAGAAUGACCUGCGGAGUUCCUUGGAGCGCUGCAGUAAAUGAUACUCUGGAGAGAGGCGGGGCCUUGGAGGUGACAGGAUGAGAGAUGCAGUGUUAGACUGAUAAGCAUCUUUGGAGAAAGCUGCAGAGCCCUCCCUCUUCCAUGUCCUAGGUUCUAAGGUUUGGUUUGUGUUAGGAUGGAGGUGGGGAGAGAGUUACAGGCUAAGCAUUCAGCUUUGUGAUAGUACAAUUCUACUGAGCAGGGCUCUAACAUGCAAGCUAGGGAUACAGAAAAACAGUUAUGUUGAAGGCAGUCCCCAGCUGCCAGAUUGAAAGGCCAGACAUAUGGUCUCUUACUUGUAUUUGGCACACAAAUAUUUGGGAAAACAAAAUUGAAUUAGAAAACCAACACAAGGCUCUAAAGGAGAAACAGUGGAUAUUACCCACGAGAUCUUAGGGAACCACUCCAGUGACAAACACGCCGCUGACGUCACCAUAUGGAGUGCAAAUCAAACGCAAUAACUGAACAAGGCAGGGACGUUAUGAGGAACAGCCAAGCAAGACUCUCACGAAAAACCAGAGAUGCUGGAGGGUUGCGAGGUUCAGAGUUCCUCAAGUUUCCUUUUUAUAAACUUGCUUAGGCUUAUGACCAAAAUGGACUCUCUAGAAAACAAGUGUCGAAGCAGCAGUGUGGAAGUCAUAGCAGAGGAACAAGACCCCCCAGGGGGGCAUCCCAAACAGGGAGGACAGCACAGGUGAGGGGUCAGAGGCAUGGAUGUGUUUUCUGUGUUGAGGUCCAGUGAGGACUGCAGCUGAACAGCAGGGAGCCUUAGAUCUAUCCCCCAUGGCUUAGAGGCCAACCUAGGUGUCUGCGUCUUGUUUUAUAUGCUGAGGGGAGUCCAGGGCAGAGAUUCCCAUUCCUGUUCACAUCUGUGCGGAUCAAAUGAAUUAACCCAGGUUAACUUCCUGCAGCAGAGCUCAGGGUUUAUUAUUAUUAUCAUCAUCAUUGCUGUGGUUUGCCUCUCAAAGGAGCCGAGAGGGUCGCGAGGACAGACAGAAUGACAUCUUCCAGAGAAGCAGGCAAGUGGAAGUGUUCAGCUAACCCAGACUUCUAGGGUCAGGGAAGGUUCCCCAAAGUAAACCAUGACCUCUCUGAGUCCUUGAAGAUUAAUCAGGGGAAGAAGGGGAUAUCUGGAGUGGAGGCUGAAAGGAAGAAAGAAAGUUCCAGACAAAGGCAAGAGCGUAUAGUAAAGCCGUAAAGAAACAGAGGGUGUUGUGACUAAAAUAAAUUCCAUUACUAUCCCCUGAGGGGGUGUCUAUUUUGAAAGCAAAUGGCAAAGUGAUUAUAGCUGUCACACAGCAAGGUUGUACCCUACAAGAUCAAUAGGCAAGAGUUAAUGUAACCUUUAAUAUGUAUCAGUAAUGAACAAGUAAAAUUGGAACUAGAAACACAUUUUCAGGGAAUGGGAAGAUGGCUCAGAAGGUAAGGGGCUUGCCAUGUAAGCUUGAGGACCUGAGUUCUAUCCCCAGUACACACAUUAAAAAAUAGAGCUGUCUGCAGUGGCACAUGUAAGCCCAGGGCAGGGAGGCAGACAGAAGGACCAUAGAGCUGGCUGGCCAGCCAGGCUACCUAGCCUGGAGAGCAACAGAUUUAAGUAAGAGAUCUGGUCUCAACAAAUAGGAUGGAAAAGUGCUGUUGAUAUCUGGUCUCUACACAUGUACACAUGCAGAUGUAUGUGCAUCACUCACCCUGAAGUUUGUAUUAGCACACCCCCAGCCCCCAAGAUGAACUACUUAGGUAUAAAUCGAACAAAUGGUGUGCAAGAUCUGCAUUAGUAAAACUAUAAAAUCAAAGAACUCAAUAUAGAGAGCUAUGCCGUGUUCAAGCAUAGGUGGGCUCACGAUUGUCAGCAUGCUGGUUCUUUGUAACUUGAUGUAUACAGAUUCAGUGGUAUCUCAAUGAAAAUCUCAGGAAGUUGAUUCUGUGGAUAUGAACAAAUUGAUUCUGAAGUUUAUAUAAGGAUGGAGAUAUAUGUAUAUGUAUAUCUAUAUAUCUCCUAGGAUAGCUGUCCCAUACUGAGGGAGAAAACCAAAGAGGAUUGACACAGUCUGACUUCAAGACUUACUGAGCAGUGAUAGAAACCAAGGCCCAGCAGCACUGGUGUGAGAACAGAUCAACAGGUCAGUGGAACAGAGUGGAGACCCAGAUGCAGUCACUCGACUAGCAGCAAAGGAGUGGAGAGAGCCUUCAGUAAAUCAUGUUGGGACAAGUUCACAGCCACCUCCAAAAUGAUGAAUCUGACUGACUUCACACAAAUUCACUCAAAGUGGACUUCAGACCUAAACGUAAAAUUAAAAGCUACGCAGCUGCCAGAAGGCAACAUGGGAGAAAGUACAGACGACCUGAGCUUUAGCAAUGACCUUCCAGCUAUAACACUACAAGCAUGAUCCAGGAAGAGAUGAUUGAAAAGCCAGACUUCACUAAACAUUCGCUUUUUAAAAGACCACGAGAGGGGAUGGAGAGAUGGCUCAGUGGUUAAGAGCACUGACUGUUCUCCAGAGGUCCCAAGUUUAAUUCCCAGCAACCACAUGGUGGCUCACAACCAUCUGGAAUGGAACUGAUGCCCUCUUCUGGUGUGUCUGAAGGAAGCUACAGUGUAAUCAUAUAUACAUUAAAUAAAUAAAUAAAUAAAUAAAUAAAUAAAUAAAUAAAUCUUUAAAAGACCACAAGGAAAAAAUCUGUACACAAGGGGGGUGUUGGCAAAUCACAGCCAGUGAAAGAACUGAUAAACAAAACAAACAAACAAACAAACAAAACCUCUACAAUUUCAACAAUGAAAAAAAACCAAAUAAUUGGCUAGUGGGUGAGAUACUUCAUGAAGGAAGACAUGCAGGGUACAAAGAAGCAUUUGAAAAGAUGUUCCAGGACCAAGAACAUAGCUCAGUUUAGUUCUAGGCUUAGAUUUUGCAUAGCAUGUACUGGAUUUGACCUACAAAACUGUGGAAGGGAGAGGGAUAAGGAGGGAGAGAGAACCACGUAUCAUGAGGCAAUUGCAAAUUCAAAUGAUAAUGAGAUAUCACUACACAUCUAUUAGAAUGGCCAAUCUCCAAAAUUCUGACACCACCAAAUGUUGGCAAGAAUAUGGAGCAAUAGAAACGCUCAUUCAUCCCCCUUAUACCAGCAAUUACAUUCAUUUCCUUGUUAGUUAUUCAAAUGAGUCAAAAACAUAUCCACACAGAAACUGUACACAGAUGUUUGUAACAGCUUCCUGUAUCACAAGACUUAGAAGCUCUCUCAAUGCCCUUCAAUAUGUGUAUAAAUAAAAUAUGGCUCACCCAGAUAAUGGUAUACCAUUCAGUGCUAAAAAUGAGCUACUAAGUUGGGUGGUGGUGGUACAUGUCUUUAAUCCCAGCAUUGCAGAGGCAGAAGCAGGCAGAUCUCUGUGAGUUUGAAGCCAGCCUGGUUUAUGGAGCAAGUUCCAGGAUAGCAGAGCUACACAGAGAAACCCUGUCUCAAAAAACAGAGAGAGAGAGAGAGAGAGAGAGAGAGAGAGAGAGAGAGAGAGAGAGAGAGAGAACCAUGAAAAGACAUAGAGGUCACUCACAUUGCAUAUUAUAAAAUGAAAGAAAUACAGUAUGAUGCUAAUUUAUGGUAUUUUGGAGACAGUAACAAGUAUAACAGUUGUCAGAGGUUGGGAAGAUCCAGAGCACAGGGCUUUUAGAGUACCAAAACUGUUGCACAUGGUAAGAUGGAGAACAUAUGUCAUUAAACAUUUGUCUAAACUCGCAGAAUACAUAGCAAAAGUGGACUCUAGUGUAAACUCUGGCCUCUGGAUGACAAUAUGUGAGUUGUCACAAAAGCACUACUGUGAUGUGGAAUGCCAAGAAGAGAAAGAAGUCACACACGUGUGGGGGCAGAGAGUGCACAGGGGCUUUCUUGUUUUCCUGUGAACCUAAAAUUGCUCUAAAAAUAGUAUUAAAAUAUUUAUUUUAUUUUGUGUAUAUGAGUGUUUUGCUUGCAUGUAUGAAUGUGUACCAUGUGAGAGUGCAAUACCUACAGAAGCCAGAAGAGGGUGCUGGAUCCCAUAGAACCAGAGGCACAGAUGGUUGUAAGCUGUCAUGUAAGUGCAAGAACUGAAACCAGGUCCUCUGAAAGAGCAGCAAGUGCUCUUAGCCUCUGAGUCCUCUAUCCACUCCUUCCAAAUACAGCUUUUAAAUGAAAGAAAACAGGCAAUUGAUGAGUAUGGAGCCAAGGCUGCAACACAGACUCUAAGCCUUACUGAAGUGUAACCCAAGGACUCCAGCAUGUCUAGGAUGCCUAUGGCUAGACAAGACAACCUGGAAACACAGAGACAUGCUAAGCUGGAGCAGAAAUAGGCUAGAAGACUUGAUACACUGCUUGGCACCAUCCCUGCUUGGGAUGGUGCCAUCCCAUUAGCUAGUCCUUUGGCCUCAGGCAGGUCAUAGUUUUCCCUCUAACUGUAAGGGUCUAUGUUCCUCAUGCCCACGAAUGGCUUGGAGGCCUUAUGCCCUCAGCAAGCACCCUGGCAGCGCUUGCCUCUGGGCCUGUGCUCUGGGACCCAGAACUUGGAAACUCUGGCUCUCUGGUCCCCAAACUUGACAAGUAACCCCUGAAAACCACAUGGGCAAACUCAGAGCUCCUGUUGUAAUUCAUAAGGUAAAGCAGACAGUAAAAUCCCGAGUGCUGAUGGGAUCGCCUUGGCUUUCUGAGGACUCUCAUCCUUGGGUCCCCUUGGCUUUCUAAGGGAGCUGCAGCUCAGAUAUGUAAGAUCUGCCCAAUAGAGAGGGUGCUGUGCCCUGGGGUCGGGUGGCUUGGUGGUGGGACAGCAUUCUGGAUGGUCAUUUGCCUUUCAAGCUAGUUGCCAACAGAGAUAGCUGCAGGGUCCAGCAUUCCACAGGGACACUACAAGGCCAAAUGAAGCCUCGUCCAUCCUACCCUCUGUUGCCAGCUCCCAUAAUGCUGUGGGCUGGGUUCCCAGUGGAUCUUUGAGGGGCCCCAUCCUGGGAAGGGGAGCCACCCUGGCUGUCUCUGCUCAGGAGUCUCUAGUGGGUUUCCCUUUCUUCAGAUCAGGAUUGGACAAGCUUUAGCAAAACAUCUUGGUGCUGACUAAAUCAAUUAGAUUCUGACAAGAAUAAAUCUUUUUGGUUUGUGAAGACAAUAUCAAAAGUGCAGACUUUCUGGUAAACGAGAAAAAAAAAAAGGACAAACCCUGAGUAUUUUUCUUAAGGGUAGUGAAUUAUGCCCUCCUUGUUGUGUUCUACAGAGGAAUUACUCAACCAGCUUGCUCUGUUUUAAUUAACCCAGCUAAUAACUUCCCUGCUGGAUUCCCUUGUUCAUAACUUCUUGGUUUCACAUAAUAACGUGUUUGUUUCUUCCUUUGUGCCCUAAUGAAAUGAUAAUAACCUUCCCUGUUAUCCAUUUCAUCCGUAAUAUCCGGAGAUUUCAUAAAUAUAAACCCUCUUUCCAUCUGCUCUCCUUCCCUUUAAAGGAAACAUUUCUGUGUUCUCUUUCCCUGUCUUCUUUAAGGAUGUUUAGCUAAUCUCCCUUCUCCAGGAAGAAUCCCUGUGUGGCUUCCCCAGGCUGACAAGGCUUGGCACAGGCUUCCCGGGGAACACAAGGGCCUGGUGUUGCUAAUGUCUUUUGGGGUAGAAGAGUAGAGUGAACACUGGCUUCAGGAUGUUGAGAAGAGCUUCUUGCCCAGGUUUUAGGCAGGUGGGAACUGGUUAAGACCAGGAACAGUGUACAAGAAGGGCAGGAGGAGCAGAAGUGGAUCUGAGAUCAAGGAAGACGUGUAGUUAGGGAAGGUAUUCAGGGAAAGUAGAGCUGGGAGUGUCCAUUAGUGCUCAAAGUGUCACUGCACUGAAGACCUACUGUGUGACUGUGUGACCUGCACACAGUAGGCCCUUCUCUUCCUUCGCUAUGCAGGUAUCAUCUGGACUGGGGACCCUAGUUCCAUCCCUAAAGAGUCCCAUACUGGUGGUACCUCCCAAAGCACCAACAGACCCAGGCCCUAAGGAUGUAUGUUGACUGUGUCUAUCCUGAAUGUCACAGGGAGGGGAACAUGCAGCUAAGUGGCAGGCAAAGGUACUCCUUCCCUGUGAACAUGACUUUUGCUAUCAGCUAACCUAGAGGCCCUCCAGUGUAGUCCCUGGGGGUUUUGUCCUAGAACAACAGCUCAAGCCUUUGAACCAACCAAGCUGAAGGAAAAGCAGAGACCUAAAAACCCAAUCAGCCAAGAGAAAUCUCUCUGAGGUCGCAGGGGUGUCAGUCAGCGAGCGACCUGUACAGCUCUUGGGGUCAGGUAUGAAAGCUCUGUAGAGACCUAAGGCUUGUGGAAGAUGGCUGGGUCCAGCUCUAGCCCACCUUCUGUCUACUGCCUAGUUGGCACAACACACCACCAUGCCUGUUUACCUAAAGGGUCUUCCUAGGAGCCCAUGCUUGGCUAUCAGAAGCCAGCUCCUGCCAGCUGUCUAGGCCCAUGCUGGCUAGGCGGGGCAGCCUUGCUUUAUUUCUUUCUAUUUCAU